ensembl:rRNA 5S_rRNA 5S ribosomal RNA
GUCUACAGCCAUACCACCCUGAAUGCGCCCUAUCUCGUCUGAUCUCGGAAGCUAACCAGGGUCAGGCCUGGUUAGCACUUGGAUGGGAGAAAAGAGAGAAGGGCUUUGUUGAAU